rnacentral:misc_RNA from 1 species
UCACCCCUCAAGCCCCGUGCUUGGUGUUGGACGGCCGGUCGAGCGAUUGACCCCUCCUAAAGACAAUGACGGCGGCCUGCGGUUCCCCCGGUACACUGAGCUUUUCACCGAGCACGUAUCGGACCAAGGGCACCCGGGACCCGGUCCUCUCCUUUCACCGGGAAAUUUUUCAAU